rnacentral:rRNA from 1 species
CCUACGGGAGGCUGCAGUGGGGAAUAUUGGACAAUGGGGGGAACCCUGAUCCAGCCAUGCCGCGUGUGUGAAGAAGGCCCUCGGGUUGUAAAGCACUUUCAGUGAGGAAGAACGCCUGGUGGUUAAUACCCAUCAGGAAAGACAUCACUCACAGAAGAAGCACCGGCUAACUCCGUGCCAGCAGCCGCGGUAAUACGGAGGGUGCGAGCGUUAAUCGGAAUUACUGGGCGUAAAGCGCGCGUAGGUGGCUUGAUAAGCCGGUUGUGAAAGCCCCGGGCUCAACCUGGGAACGGCAUCCGGAACUGUCAAGCUAGAGUGCAGGAGAGGAAGGUAGAAUUCCCGGUGUAGAGGUGAAAUGCGUAGAGAUCGGGAGGAAUACCAGUGGCGAAGGCGGCCUUCUGGACUGACACUGACACUGAGGUGCGAAAGCGUGGGUAGCAAACAGGAUUAGAUACCCCGGUAGUC